GACGAACGCUGCGGCGGGCCUAACCCCUGCCAGUUCAACCGAAAGGGCCCUCCUUUGUGGGGUUCCUGGGUUGCGAACGGGGGAGUAACCCCGGAGUUACCCUCCCCUGACCUUUGGGUUACCUUCAGAAACCUGGGCUUAUACCGGGUAGGAGCUUCCGCCUCCUGGGGGGGGUUGGGAAGGUUCGGCGGUUGGGGAUGGACUCGCGGCUUAUCAGCUUGUUGGUGGGGUAGUGGCUUACCAAGGCUUUGACGGGUAGCCGGCCUGAGAGGGUGACCGGCCACAUUGGGACUGAGAUACGGCCCAGACUCCUACGGGAGGCAGCAGUGGGGAAUAUUGCACAAUGGGCGGAAGCCUGAUGCAGCAACGCCGCGUGCGGGAUGACGGCCUUCGGGUUGUAAACCGCUUUCGCCUGUGACGAAGCGUGAGUGACGGUAAUGGGUAAAGAAGCACCGGCUAACUACGUG
rnacentral:rRNA from 1 species